ensembl:misc_RNA 7SK 7SK RNA
GGAUUCCGGCCAAUCUGGCUUCACAUCUGCGCAGGGCUAUGGAUUGCCAGGGUUGAUUCAGCUAAUCUGGCCAGCUGGGUGGGGGUGCCUCUGCUACCUAAGCCCUCCCCACGUGUCCCCUCGAUGGAGAGAACCCUCCCUGAGGAAGGGGGACCAUGCUUCAGGCAAGUGUUCACACGCAGUGGUGCUUCCCCAGCAGAGGUGUGGAGAAACCAGCUUGCCUGGGCUUUGCCGCCCUUGGAUCUGCCGUCAGCAGUGACUCUGUAAGACAGCUUCUUUGCUCCAAAUGUCAAGAUUCAACGAUCAUUU